rnacentral:rRNA from 1 species
GAGUGAACCCCUCGUUGGUACCUUCCUCUUAUCGGGGAUCACUUAUUGGAAACGGUACGGUUAUGCCGGCUAUUCUAAUGUCGAUAUCGCAUGAUAUUGACGAUUGGUAAUGGUCAUAAUGCAUCCACUUAAGAGAAUGGACCUUGCGUUGGUAUUAGCUAUUGUGAGGUACGGCUCACCAAGGUCAACGAUACAUAGCCGACCUGUAGUAGGGUGAUCGGCCACACUGGGACUGAGACACGGUCCCAGACUCCUACGGGAGGCAGCAGUAGGGAAUCUUCGGCCAAUGGGGCAACCCUGACCGAGCUACGCCGCGUGAGUGAAGAAGGUUUUCGGAUCGUAAAGCUCUGUUGUAAGAGAAGAACGAGUGUGAGAGUGGUAAAGUUCACACUGUGACGGUAACUUACCAGAAAGGGACGGCUAACUACGUGCCAGCAGCCGCGGUAAUACGUAGGUCCCGAGCGUUAUCCGGAUUUAUUGGGCGUAAAGCGAGCGCAGGCGGUUAGAUAAGUCUGAAGGUAAAGGCUGUGGCUUAACCAUAGUACGCUUUGGAAACUGUUUAACUUGAGUGCAGAAGGGGAGAGUGGAAUUCCAUGUGUAGCGGUGAAAUGCGUAGAUAUAUGGAGGAACACCGGUGGCGAAAGCGGCUCUCUGGUCUGUAACUGACGCUGAGGCUCGAAAGCGUGGGGAGCAAACAGGAUUAGAUACCCUGGUAGUCCACGCCGUAAACGAUGAGUGCUAGGUGCUUGGGUCCUUUCCGGGACUCAGUGCCGCAGCUAACGCAUUAAGCACUCCGCCAUGGGGAGUACGACCAGCAAGG